AGCGAACGCUGGCGGCAGGCUUAACACAUGCAAGUCGAGCGGGCGUAGCAAUACGUCAGCGGCAGACGGGUGAGUAACGCGUGGGAACGUACCUUUUGGUUCGGAACAACCCAGGGAAACUUGGGCUAAUACCGGAUAAGCCCUUACGGGGAAAGGAUUUAUCGCCAAAAGAAUCGGCCCGCGUCUGAUUAGCUUGUUGGUGAGGUGACGGCUCACCAAGGCGACGAUCAGUAGCUGGUCUGAGAGGAUGAUCAGCCACAUUGGGACUGAGACACGGCCCAAACUCCUACGGGAGGCAGCAGUGGGGAAGUAUUGGACAAUGGGCGCAAGCCUGAUCCAGCCAUGCCGCGUGAGUGAUGAAGGCCCUAGGGUUGUAAAGCUCUUUUGUGCGGGAAGAUAAUGACUGUACCGCAAGAAUAAGCCCCGGCUAACUUCGUGCCAGCAGCCGCAGUAAG
rnacentral:rRNA from 1 species